rnacentral:tRNA from 1 species
GUCCUCAUGGCGCAGUGGACAGCGCGCUGGACUUCUAAUCCAGAGGUCGUGGGUUCGAAUCCCACUCGGGAUA